rnacentral:rRNA from 1 species
UCCUGGCUCAGAAUCAACGCUGGCGGCGUGCCUAACACAUGCAAGUCGAACGAGAAAGGGUAGCAAUACCUGAGUAAAGUGGCGCACGGGUGAGUAACACGUGACUAACCUACCCUGGAGUGGGGGAUAACUGAGGGAAACCUUAGCUAAUACCGCAUAACACCUACGGGUCAAAGGAGCAAUUCGCUUCAGGAGGGGGUCGCGGCCGAUUAGUUAGUUGGCGGGGUAAUGGCCCACCAAGACUGUGAUCGGUAUCCGGCCUGAGAGGGCGCACGGACACACUGGAACUGAAACACGGUCCAGACUCCUACGGGAGGCAGCAGUGGGGAAUUUUGCGCAAUGGGGGAAACCCUGACGCAGC